rnacentral:rRNA from 1 species
GACAGAGGUCCCGAGCGUUAGGCGGAAUCACUGGGCUUAAAGCGUGUGUAGGCGGAUUUGUAAGUACCUUGUGAAAUCCCACGGCUUAACCGUGGAACUGCUGGGUAUACUGCGAAUCUUGGGCCAUCUAGGGGGCUAGCGGAACAAACGGUGGAGCGGUGAAAUGCGUAGAUAUCGUUUGGAACGCCAAUGGUGAAAACAGCUAGCUGGGGAUGUGCCGACGCUGAGACACGAAAGCCAGGGGAGCGAACGGG